AGCAGGCAGGAGCAGGAACAUGAGCCCUGCCUGCUCUCCAGCUAGUGAUGUUACCACCCAUUUGUGAUUCCUGAGACAGAACAGAGCAAGCCAAGCCUUAACACCUGCCUUGCGUUAACAAGCAUGGACCUGGCCUGUCAGGUACAGUCCUUCCAGGGAUGGGCCUCUCCCCUUCGUCUUGGAUCCUGCCUGAGGCCAGGGUGAGUCCUGUAAAGAUCCAGAACCCUCUUGAUCCACACAGACCAAGCGGCCAGCCUUGCCAGUGUUGGACUGCACACCUCCUUCAUCCAGCCAGCAAAUCAAUGCAAACCCAAGGUGUUAGCUCUUCGAUCUUCACAACAGCUAGUGCAAAAGGUAUUGUGAUUAUCUGCUUUCCUGAAUGCCCGAAUUUGUAGAGCUGUUGCAGGAAGGAGUCUUUGUUCAGAGUUAGACAGUGACUCCAAGAGCCUGGGGUCUCUCACCACAAUGCUGCCCUGCCUCCAGCCCUGGCCAGUAAAUGGGUCCUCCCCUCCUCAGACACUAGCCCAAGCAGCAAGGAUGAAGUCGACUGUGGCUGUGCUUUAGAAACACAGGACCGACAUGAAGGACACAGAAGGUCCACUUGGCAGGGCCAUGGAAGAGCCCAGCAGAUUGCCAUCAACCUGUAAAACAAGCAUCAC